rnacentral:rRNA from 1 species
GGCGGACGGGUGAGUAACACGUGGGUAACCUACCUAUAAGACUGGAAUAACUCCGGGAAACCGGGGCUAAUGCCGGAUAACAUGUUGAACCGCAUGGUUCUACAGUGAAAGACGGUCUUGCUGUCACUUAUAGAUGGACCCGCGCCGUAUUAGCUAGUUGGUGGGGUAACGGCCUACCAAGGCGACGAUACGUAGCCGACCUGAGAGGGUGAUCGGCCACACUGGAACUGAGACACGGUCCAGACUCCUACGGGAGGCAGCAGUAGGGAAUCUUCCGCAAUGGGCGAAAGCCUGACGGAGCAACGCCGCGUGAGUGAUGAAGGUCUUCGGAUCGUAAAGCUCUGUUGUUAGGGAAGAACAAAUGUGUAAGUAACUGUGCACAUCUUGACGGUACCUAACCAGAAAGCCACGGCUAACUACGUGCCAGCAGCCGCGGUAAUACGUAGGUGGCAAGCGUUAUCCGGAAUUAUUGGGCGUAAAGCGCGCGUAGGCGGUUUUUUAAGUCUGAUGUGAAAGCCCACGGCUCAACCGUGGAGGGUCAUUGGAAACUGGAAAACUUGAGUGCAGAAGAGGAGAGUGGAAUUCCAUGUGUAGCGGUGAAAUGCGCAGAGAUAUGGAGAGAACACCAGUGGCGAAGGCGGCUUUCUGGUCUGCAACUGACGCUGAUGUGCGAAAGCGUGGGGAUCAAACAGAGAUUAGAUACCCUGGUAGUCCACGCCGUAAACGAUGAGUGCUAAGUGUUAGGGGGGUUUCCGCCCCUUAGUGCUGCAGCUAACACAUUAAGCACUCCGCCUGGGGAGUACGGUCGCAAGACUGAAACUCAAAGGAAUUGACGGGGACCCGCACACAGCGGUGGAGCAUGUGGUUUAAUUCGAAGCAACGCGAAGAACCUUACCACAUCUUGACAUCCCC